rnacentral:rRNA from 1 species
UACGUAGGGGGCAAGCGUUAUCCGGAUUUACUGGGUGUAAAGGGAGCGUAGACGGAUGGGCAAGUCUGAUGUGAAAGGCUGGGGCUCAACCCCGGGACUGCAUUGGAAACUGCCCGUCUUGAGUGCCGGAGAGGUAAGCGGAAUUCCUAGUGUAGCGGUGAAAUGCGUAGAUAUUAGGAGGAACACCAGUGGCGAAGGCGGCUUACUGGACGGUAACUGACGUUGAGGCUCGAAAGCGUGGGGAGCAAACAGG